AUACAUGCAAGUCGAGCGAAUGGAUUAAGAGCUUGCUCUUAUGAAGUUAGCGGCGGACGGGUGAGUAACACGUGGGUAACCUGCCCAUAAGACUGGGAUAACUCCGGGAAACCGGGGCUAAUACCGGAUAACAUUUUGAACCGCAUGGUUCGAAAUUGAAAGGCGGCUUCGGCUGUCACUUAUGGAUGGACCCGCGUCGCAUUAGCUAGUUGGUGAGGUAACGGCUCACCAAGGCAACGAUGCGUAGCCGACCUGAGAGGGUGAUCGGCCACACUGGGACUGAGACACGGCCCAGACUCCUACGGGAGGCAGCAGUAGGGAAUCUUCCGCAAUGGACGAAAGUCUGACGGAGCAACGCCGCGUGAGUGAUGAAGGCUUUCGGGUCGUAAAACUCUGUUGUUAGGGAAGAACAAGUGCUAGUUGAAUAAGCUGGCACCUUGACGGUACCUAACCAGAAAGCCACGGCUAACUACGUGCCAGCAGCCGCGGUAAUACGUAGGUGGCAAGCGUUAUCCGGAAUUAUUGGGCGUAAAGCGCGCGCAGGUGGUUU
rnacentral:rRNA from 1 species